UACGAACGCUGGCGGCAGGCUUAACACAUGCAAGUCGAGCGCAUCCUUCGGGGCGAGCGGCAGACGGGUGAGUAACGCGUGGGAACGUACCCUUUCCUACGGAAUAGCUCCGGGAAACUGGAAUUAAUACCGUAUACGCCCUUAGGGGGAAAGAUUUAUCGGGGAAGGAUCGGCCCGCGUUGGAUUAGCUAGUUGGUGGGGUAAAGGCCUACCAAGGCGACGAUCCAUAGCUGGUCUGAGAGGAUGAUCAGCCACAUUGGGACUGAGACACGGCCCAAACUCCUACGGGAGGCAGCAGUGGGGAAUAUUGGACAAUGGGCGCAAGCCUGAUCCAGCCAUGCCGCGUGAGUGAUGAAGGCCUUAGGGUUGUAAAGCUCUUUCAGUAGGGAAGAUAAUGACGGUACCUACAGAAGAAGCCCCGGCUAACUUCGUGCCAGCAGCCGCAGUAA
rnacentral:rRNA from 1 species